CCCCCGGUAGCUCAGUUGGUAGUAGCGCCUGUUUGAAGCACAGGAGGUCGUCGGUUCGGUUCCGACCUGGGGGG
rnacentral:tRNA from 1 species